rnacentral:lncRNA from 1 species
UCGAUUCCGGAAGAAGUCGAUUCCGACGACGGAGUAGAAGAAGUCGAUUCCGGCGGACGGAGCAGAAGAAGUCUACGGCACCUUGCGAAUCAUCUUUGGCAUAAGAAGUACUACUCAUUUGCAGAUAACAUGGCACCUAGCAAUUUGAUUACUGCAUUAACACCAAAGAACGAUAGGUGGAGAAUCAAAGUAAAAGUUAUUAGGCUAUGGGAUGCGGUUAAUCCUACAAUGGUUGAUGAGUUCUAUGGUAUACAGAUGAUUGUACUAGAUGCAGAGGGCAACUCAAUACAUGUCUCUAUCUCAAAGCAAUUGGCGAACCACUUCAGGCCAAAAAUUAAGAUUAACUCAAUAUAUACUUUUAAAAAUUUCAAAGUUAUGGAACAUGAUAAAUACCGUGUCCUAACAAACAAUCUGAAAAUCCUUUUUUAUCAUGAUACCAUAGUAAAAGAGACCUGUUUGUAUUUAGAUGUGAUUGGCUUACUUAGCGGGAUGAAGCCGAUCGAGCAAAGAAUGCUAGGAAAAAACACAAGCAGGGAGAGGGUUUGUAACAUGCGUGAAAUUGAACUCCUUUUAUUAGAGGGAGAAAAAGUUAAAAUUACUCUAUGGGGAGAUAUUUUAGCAAAUAUGGUUGACGACGAUUUGCUUGGGAAGCAAACUGUGUUCAUCGCCACUGGACUUCUGGUUUUGCCCACAAUGAUUGAAGUGGACGCAAGCACUCAAGGAACCAUUGAAGAGCAAAUGUUCUACAAUAGAAAGACAUUGAAAGAAAUAACAGAAUUGCGAUAUAGUAAUAUACAACAGAAGGAAUUUAUAUGCACAGUCAAAGCUAAAAUUGAGGAGAUUAAAUCAAGAAAUUGGUGGUAUAUGUCUUGCGAUAAGUGCUUUUGUGGAACAAGAAAGGAAUCAAAUGUAUACAUUUGCAAUUCAUGCAGAAAGGAAGCAGUGAACCCAAAACCACGGUAUGUAAUAAACCUUGAGAUAAGUGACCACACUACUAGGACGACAUGUACAAUAUUUAAUGAGGACGCAGAAAGAAUAUUUGGUCAUAAGUCUGUGUCCACCAUGCUGGAGGAACAGAAUGGACAAAUUGAUAUGAUUCCUGAUACAAUACGUCAGAUAUGUGGAAGAAUAUUGAUAUUCAGAUUGAAGUUGACUAAAAGGAAUUUAGAAGAGUGUAAGGAAGACUACAAAGUGAACUACACUUUUACACCUAAUGAAAAGCUUGAGAUGAAUUAUGUAAAUGACAAGGCAGAAGAGGUAAAAGAAGAGCCAAAAAAUGAAAGUAGUGAUGAUUAUGAAAUGAACAAUCAUCGCAAAACAAAGAAAGAGAGAUCAAACAUGAGAUCUACAAAAAGAUCAAACAAGGAACCAUACAUUACCGAUUCUGAUGGGAAAACAAAUGAAAAGGCAAUCACAAUCGAUGAUGAUUCCGAAGAAUCACUUGAUGAUUAUUUUGAUGAAGAAUACAAUAAAAAGGUUACCCAGGAGAGUACAAAGACAAAUCCUUCUAAAAGAAGAGUUACAAGACGCUUUAAAAUAGCUAACAAGUCAAUGUUGAAGUGCAAUGAUGAUUAUGGCUUCACUGAUUUGCAAAAAUCAGAAGAUGAGUUUGGGCAGCACAAUUUUCAGGUAAAAGAAGAGCCAAAAAAUGAAAGUAGUGAUGAUUAUGAAAUGAACAAUCAUCGCAAAACAAAGAAAGAGAGAUCAAACGUGAGAUGUACAAAAAGAUCAAACAAGGAACCAUACAUUACCGAUUUUGAUGGGAAAACAAAUGAAAAGGCAAUUACAAUCGAUGAUGAUUGUGAAGAAUCACUUGAUGAUUAUUUUGAUGAAGAAUACAAUGAAAAGGUUACACAGGAGAGUACAAAGACGAAUCCUUCUAAAAGAAGAGUUACAAGACGUUUUAAAACAUCUAACAAGGCUAAGAAAGGAAAAUGUUCUGAAAUGAAAACUCAGAGAAAUAAGGAACCAUAUACUACUGAUUGUGAGAAGAUAGCAAAUGACAAACCAAUUUCGCUUGAUGAUGAUUUUGAUGAAGAAUAUAAUAAAAAUAUGGUAAGGGGAAAAGGUUGUGGAAAGAAGAGUACAAAUAUGGGAACUUGCACAAAAAGUGCAAUUGAAAAUACAAUUCAAGAUGAUGAAGUGCAUGACGGAAAAAUUGCUUCAGGAACUGCUAAAAGACCAUCAAGGAAAUUUAUAAUUUCAGAUAGUGAGGAUGAGCACAGCAGUAAUACAAAGGUGACUGGGGACAGCACCAGCUGUAAUAGUAGUAAGGAAGAUAUAAACAAAGGUCGAUGCAAUUAUAAUAUUGAGAACAUUAAAGUAAUUUAUUGUCAAGAAGGCCCAAAAGAACCAAUUAAAAGGAGGGUUCAGCCAAUACUUUUUAUUGAAGAAUAG